rnacentral:lncRNA from 1 species
CCCCUUAACAGAUUCGAUUGGCCUUUAUAUAGCCCUUACUAAAUCCUUUUACAAUUGUUUUGCUGCGUGUAUAUCUUGUUGUGUUGUUUGUGGCUUGCAGGUGUGUGAGCGUUGUGCGGGUGGACGUGCAAGCGAAGACGUGGGGCGGUUAUUGCGUCGUGCGUGGUGAAGUUGCUGCGAUAGAGAACAUGUGCGGCGCAGGGAGAAUUAGGGUUCCUAGAAUCAGUUUAGGAUUGGGUUAAUUGGGUUAGGCUAAAUUUGGGCUUGAAUUAAUGAAAUUGGGCUAUAUUAGGCCGAAUAUAUUUGGUUUAUUGGGCUGUGCAAAUGGUUUUGGGCCCCGGGCAACAAUUGGGUAUCACA